rnacentral:misc_RNA from 1 species
AAUCAUCAACCGCUCCCGUUUGAAUGCGGGGGUCGGGUUGGAUCUGGGGGCUUGCCGCUGCAAAGCGGCUCCCUUCAAAUGCAUCGGUUGGACCUGUGGGUCGAACUCGACUGGGCGUUGUAACAUCCUCGCUCUACCGAGAAGUUCCCCUUUGGUGUCCUCCCACGACUCGCCUGUGGAGUGGCGGUCAAUUUGCUUUGAACU